AAGUGGAGGAAUUUGGGGGCAGUGAAAGCUGUGUGUGCCCAUGUGAGAAGACUGGGCCAAGAGGGCACCCCUGGGGGUACAGAGACAGUGCCCAUGGGAGUCCGUGGUGCACAGCAGCCACCCAGCUCUGCCUCUUGAAUGGAUGGAGACAGAGUCCCUCCGCAGACAUAAGAGGACGAGAGCUCUGGCCCAGAGGCCAGUGCCCUCUGCAGUUUCCCAGGGACAGGAGCCCAUGCCUGCUAGAGACAGAGGGCGGACACGGAGCCUGGGUGGGCUUGAUCAGCAUGCAGACUGAGCCUCCUUUAGCCCGUUUCCCUGCCCCUUUGCACAGGCUCUGAAGACAAGUUACAGGACAUGAGAAGAAACCCCAGGUGGCCUCCCCAUCAGCAGGUGAGCGGGUAGAGUCCUGACCAGAUGCCAGAGCAGUUUAAGAUGUCACUUCAUCCAGAGGGCAGAGGACAAGCAGGAGACCAACAGAGGCCCAGGUGGUCCAAGGAGCACUGGGUAAGGACCAGACCAGAGCUCCAGCCCAUGCGCCUGGGGCCUGAAGCAGUUUCCUCACCCGCGCUGCAUGUGAAAUGACCCCUGACUGUCCAGGUUAAGGAUGGCGGUAGCACUUCUGCCUGGAACGCUGUAUUGAGAACGAUUUUCUGAGGCUGUGGUUAAUUCGUGAUGCCCGUGGGGAGAGCCAGAGGUUGCUUGUCAAUGUCUUGUUACUUCUCUACCAUCCUGAUGAAGAGCAUUUGUCAGGGUUCUUCCAGCUCACAAAUCCUACCAGCCUAUGAUUUCGAAGUUAAAAUCUCCAGGCACUGGCUGGAAGCACCGGAAGUCAGAGGAGGAAGAGAUGUGAGUGGGUUAGAACCUCAGGGAAGGCUCUGGGGAGGAGGCGGCUCUCCACGAGGCCGUGCGGGUGCCGCGUGCUUGUUGUGCAGGAGGUGGGAGGACAUUUAUGGGCAAGAAAAUGGGGCUGAGCAGAGGCUGUUCACGGUACAGGGAGGAGGAGGCCAGCAUCGCUGGAACGCGCUGUCUCUGUCUCGGACAAACGGGAUCAGACGUGUGAGGUCGUGGUGGUGCCUGAAAACCAGAACUGACUCCGUGGGAAGACUCAGAACCAGAUGCUCCAGCACCGUUAUCCCAGGGGCCUCGCCCACACCCCCAGCCCAUGGGGCCACAGAAGAGCAAGCAACAACCACCACCCAUCCCCAGCUGGAUCCAUCUUUUCCAUCACCAGUCGUUACCAGGCUCCUGCCAUGUGCCAUGAACAGUCCGGGCAAUGGAGACCUGAAGACCAGUCUUUGCUCAAGGAACUCAUCACCACAUCGGUGA
rnacentral:lncRNA from 1 species